rnacentral:lncRNA from 1 species
GGAUGUUUUUCUGGUUUGGUACUUCCUGGAAAUGAGAUUCCUGCCUUGUUCAACUAUAAGAAUGAGGGUGCUUCAAUAUUGUUUAAACUACCUGAAUUCGACGGCAGGAACUUGAAUGGCAUGAACGUGUGCCUUGUUUGCUCAUCUCAUUUAGAGAAAGAAGAAACUAAACAAAUUAGAAUCAAAUUGACUAAUUAUACUAAGGGUUUUACCAAGAAGUUUCGUGCUGUAGCAAUUAACUUGGUAAAAUCCUGCGAAGAUCACCUUUGGCAAGGCCAUAUAUCAAACAAUUUUUUCAAACUUGGUAGUGAAGAUGAAGUGGAGCUUAUUGUAGACUGUAUGAACACAAUGACUGUGAAGAAGACUGGAGUAUACCUAGUAUAUGAGCAAGACGAGGCAAGGCUUAAAGCUAAGAGAGGUCUUGAUAGUGAUGAUCGGGCAGGAUCAAGUUGUGAUAACCUACUUCAAGCAAAAAGAUUGAGAUUUGAGACUUGUCAGCAGAACAUUGAGGAAAACAUGGAUAUGGCAUAGCUUCAGCCUUCAGGUUUUGGCGUUUUCAAUGUUGUCUCUGUUGAAGCUUGAGUUCAAGAUGAUAUUUUAUCCAUUAUGCCUGUGUAAUAAAGGGUUUUUGUGAUGCAGGAGAUUCUAGAAGUGUUGAGCUACCAAAAUUUAUAUUCUGGUAAAAUUUUCAACCCUAUUUUGAACAUCCAGUGUUUAAUUUAAAAUUUUAUCUUCAAUUAUGAGACUGGUAUAACAUCUAGGUUUUUCUCUCAAGUCGUUUAAUUCACUUUCUUCAUAUUUUCUCCUUCCAAUCUAAUUUUUUUUUGUUCAGGCUGCCCACUUUUGUAAUAUUUUUGUUAUUUUUGUCACGUCUAUGGAACUAGCUAGUAGUAAAAGAGCUGUUUUCCGUACAUGAUGCUCAUGCGAGACCAUAAACAUUGAAGAAUUUCUUGGUGAUCUCUGAUAUUCUUUGCGUUGUAUGCAUAGUAGUCUAUAGGAGGAGAUAAAUAGUGUUCGCACUCUUUAUCUGUUUUGAGUAGUGAAUCUUCUAUCAAGUUUGGCUCACAGUGAAAAAAGAAAAAAGAAAUGCUACAUAUUCAAAGAAAAGAAGUUUUGCACGAAAGACUGUUUUUGAAUAUAUAUAUGGAUUCUACUUAUUCUUUUUUAAUUUUGGUUAAAAAAACUAUAAUUUAUAAUUUUUCUAAAUUUAUUUUUUUAAAUUGCAGCCAUAAAAGCUACCAUAAUAUUAAAUACAUACUGAUAUAAUCAUUUGAUUAUGUCAUGUGUGAUUAUGUCAUGUGUCAAUCAUCAAUCUAAAGGUGUGUUUAUUUUUGCAGUUUAACUCGUUUAUAUUUAUGAUUCAACUUAAUUUUUAAAUCGUUUUUUAAUUAAAAAAAAUAUUAAAUUGAUUUUUUUUAUGCAUUUUAAUGAUUGUGAUGCAAUAAUAUAAAAAAUAAAAAAUAUAAUUAUUUUUUAUGUAUUUUUAAUUGAAAAAUAUUUUUAUAAAAAUAUUAUGUAUGACAUUAUUAAACAUAUAAUAAGGUGAGAGUGAUUUUUAUAAACCAAAAAUAUUAGUUUUACAAUCCGUAAUCAAGAGCUAUGUGACAUUUUAACUGUUAGAGAUGCACAACCUACAAUUUCGCUCUGACAAAGACUGAGUUGAGGACUUUCAAUGCCCCUGCCAAACUGAAUGACUUGGAACUUGACUUCAAUUUUGUUGGAUUACCAUACUUUUUUUUAGCUGUUUCUCAGUUUCCUUGCCCGAACCUUUGAUUUCACUGUUUAAGUUAGCAUGCAUUAAAAAAUCGAGUUCUGUGCUUCAUUACACUCUUCUCAUUCUUGUAUGCAAUCAUAUUCUUAUAAUGCUGGUUCAAGGCCUUCUAAUAAUAGAUGCUCUCAGGUGGCAAGAUCGAGCUCCAUGCCUCCAAAUGGUAAGGACACAUUGUACCAGAGCUUGCCACCUGGUGUAAAAUCAGCUCUACGUUCCAAACUGCAAUCGUUUAAUGUCAAAGAUGAGGUACUACUUUUUCACCUCAAAGAAGAGAGGGUAGAAAGUCUUAUUUUCUCAUUCAUGCGGAUGCUCUAGUUGUUUACUUCAUUGUGAUUUGUAUGUCCAGCUUACCAUCACAGAAAUUAAAGAUACGAUGGAGAAGACACUGCAGUGGCUGGUUCCACUGUCCACUAACACAGCCAAGUAUGUAAUGCCAUUAUUUUCCCUCCCCAAAAACAGAAACUUUUCCUGCUUUAAAUCCUUAAUUUUCAAUGUCUCAUUGCCUAAUUGUUAACAUUUUUCUUUGAAUUUUAAUUGAUUCGGAACAGAGUGCAUCACGGUUUUGGUUGGGUUGGAGAGUGGGCAAGUUCCGGGUGAGUCCAUUGCUUUCUUCCAAUUGUUUUUAAGAAUUUCAUUUUUGCAAUUUAUUUUGUUAACAACAAGCAAGCUGAAUGGCCCGAGUAUAAGAAGAUUUGGUCGUGGUGUGUACAGGUCUGAGGCCAACAGAAAACCUGCUGCUGGAGCAGCUGAUAUAAUCCAGAUUGAAACACUCCACCAUGCGGACAAGGAGAAAACAGAAGCCUAUAUUCUUGAACAACUAUUAUGGCUUCACCAUCUUGUCAGCAAAACCAAGAGUGUUUCUAGUGGUGUUAGCAUAAAAUCUCAUGCCAAGUCUGCAAUUGGCACACAGGGUCAGAAGUCGAAUCAGAAACAAGAGCAAGAGUCACCCAAUGCAGCUGACUUGCCUCACGCUGUAACGUCCAAUGCACCACCACCAACAACUACCGAAGACCAAAAAAUAUUGCAGGAUGCAAGUGAGGAAAACCAGAUAGAAGAAAAUAGUAAGAGCCAGGGCAUUAACUCAGUGGAUACCAAGUUGAGAGAAGAUGGUGGGCUGAGUACGACUAACAACAAUUCCCCUAGAAGGAAAAGCGAGGACUCAGCUACUGUCAAAAGUGUUCCUUCUGUGCUUCCCAUCAGUGAUAUUGGUAUUGACAAGGAGGAAGAAUUGGAUAAGAUUGACAGAGUUGAUGUGCUCAGAUACAAGGGAAAGCCUGGACUUGUUACUGCCAAAACUUGAAAAACCUUCUUUCUUUGGUUCCACCAUUGGCUUAUGGGAUGACAAGGAGAAACGAUCGGAUGUUAAUAGUAGAGUUGAUGUGCUCAGAUAACUUAUUGAAUGAUAUACAUGAUAUUGAGUGACAAGAAAAUUCUAGUAAUUUAUAGACUGGAAAAGCCAUGUUGUCCUUGUGCAUUUGGGCUAAGCCUGGCUGCAUAUACAGGCCUUACAGCUUCUGUAAUGAUGGACAGAAUCACAGUUUAUACACUACUAUAUAUACUGAAAGCAUGCUGUACUUGGACCACAGGUCCUGUGGAACUGAAAUUGAAAAAAUUGCCUUGGAUUCUGGUGUAUAGAGUGCUGUAUCAUUCUUUUUCUCAUCUGGCAGUUUCAAUCUUGAGCAUUUUUCACUUCUUUUUGGCAUAAUUACUGGUGAUCCGCUGACUCCAGUCUGGCUCAAGAGUUAAUCUGAUUAACAGCAUGCAAAGCCACCAACCGAUGCAGAAUCUCAUAAAAAUAAGCUUAACUUUUAAUCCAACUAUUAUACCUAUCAUCUAUUUUCGGUUUUUUAGUUCCGAACUAGGCAUGAAAGCUACUGUUUUGGUUUUUUUUUUAUUCUUAUUCCUAGUUAAAUUAUGACUUUCAAUUUAAUUUGAAUUUUACUAAUUAAAACGUUUCAACCAUAUAGGCUAUUUUUCAAAAGAAAAUCAAUGUAAUAAAGACUUGUAAGAAUAAAUAACAGGUUUCUCUGCAAUUCUCUAUAGUUAAAGGCUCUAAUAUUAGGACCUGAAAACGCUCCUUUUCUUCCCUGUAGUUUAGGGCUGUAAAACUUCAAAAAUUGAGGAACCUUAUCCAUGCUUUACAAGAUCUAUCAUGCAGAGAAUGCAUACUAAUGAAGACAAAUAAAAGAAAAAAAAAUGCCCGCUAAAUUAACCAAAAAAGGGGUAAUAUUUUGGCAAAAGUUAGAUAUAUAACUUGUAUGAAAAAUUCAGAAUAUUGGGUUUGUGUGUGAGCCAAGAACUAAGUUUUAGCCAUUGAAGAGGGCGAGUGAAUUUUUCAAUAUAAUCUCAGGGAAGUAAACACAGAGGUUCAAAAAAGGAGAUCUGAAGACGAUGGAGUAUGUUACCAGAGCUGACGCGAAUACACCAUGAAAUGUUAUUCUCCUCUCCAUCACUUCUCACUCGUUAAAUCAAUGCGUUUUCGUAAUCUGAUUCUGACCAGCUCUUUCUCCAUCCACUGAAGCAAAUGAUUCUAAAUAAUAACUAGCAAAAAGGAAAAUUUGUAAAACAAGUAAUAGAGCAAUAAAUGGCUACUGUUUUGGAACAUAAAAGAUACAGAUUGUAGGGAUGGAAUGGACAUCUUCAUGUCCUUUCUGUUUUAAAGUUAGAUAAAAAUUCAUUUCAAAAUUACCCUUUAAAACAAAAUUUAUUUAAAAGGAUUUUUCAAAUUUUCACUUUUUAUAAUACAAUAAAAUAACUAAAUUAACCUUCAAAAUAAAAAUUCUUGAAUUGGCAUCCAAAAGCUUUUUUUGUAUUUUUAUCACUGUUCUUUUUAGUUAUAAUAAAAUUAACUAAGAUUUAAUUUGGUAUUUUAAUAAAUAUAAAAUAUUAAUUAAAAAUAAAAAAUGGUUGCAUGUGUCACUGAAUGUGAGACACCAACACUCUUCAAGUGAUGUGUAUGGUAUCUCUAGGUGGCUAAACGCAACAUUGGAAGAAUCUUGAUAUGCUCUUCCCUAUGGUCAAAUGCAUAUACACAACGAUGAAGCGAUUGAGUUUUGAUCAAAUUUUUUUUUUUUUUUCUCUUUUCUCUCUUAUCACUUAAUGUUUUGCUCAUUCUCUCGAUAUUUGAAUUAAAAAUUGAGAAUUUUGUUCUAUGAUUUUUUUAUGUUUGUUUUUUAUGGGAUAAUUUUUCUCUCAAAACUUGGAUCAUUAAUUUAAAAAAUUAGCCUAAUUUGAUUUUAGUUUUUUUUAGAUUUUUUAUUAUUGAAUUUUUUUUUUCAAUUUCAUCAUUCAAUAUUAAAUUAUUGGGACUUAAGCUUUGUAAUUUUUUUCUUUAUUUUCUAUGGAGUUAUCUAGAUCUCAUGUCUCGAGUCGCGGGUUAAUUGAGUUAACUUAGAUUGACUCAGGUUUUUUUUUUAAUUUUUGUCUUUCUUCAUUUAGUUUGCUUGAAAGUUGACUUCUAUUUUUUUUUUAAUUUUUUUUGUUGGGCUAUGAAUUUAGCAUGGAAACUCGAGUCAUGUUUUUAAUUUUUUUAAAAAAAAAUUGAUUUUUUUUUCGGUUCAUCCUUCAACGUUUGAUUUGUUGGUAAUUGAGAUUCAGAUUUUUUUAUUUUCCUCUAUAUGAAGUUAUCCAAGAUUAUCAUGUUCUCAUUUAAUUUUUGCUUUAUUAUCGAAUAAGAUCGUUGAGAUAUUUUAAAAAUAUUUAAAUGAUAUCUUUUUAUAAUAUUGAUAAGUGUUUAUUUUCUUUCAUUAGUCAUUGUUUUUUUUUUUAAAUUGUUGUUGGCUUUUUCUAUACUCGUAUUAUUAAAUUAACUGAACUUAUUAAAAAAAUUUGUAUCAAUGAUCAAGGUCCUAUAUUUUUCAUGCUCCUUUAAAAAUCAAUCAUUAAAUGGGUAUUUUUUAAGUUAAAAAAAUUGAUCUAACUCACGGCGUAGCGUGACAGUGCUAAGGAAGACAAUUUGAUAUGAACUAGAUGGAUACCAACCCAUCUUGACCCAAGUGGAUGAUUAAUUUUUAGAUAGUUAUUUUAUCUGAUGAAUAAUGGGUACAGUAUGAAUAUUGUUAAACCCAACUCGAAACUCACCCAAACCUAACUUGAAAUAUAUAUUUAUAUUAUAUAGGUAUAAUUGUAUAUUAUCUAGAUUUUUUUAAUACAAUUUGAUAUAUAGAUAUAGAUAUAAAAUAUAGAUAUCAAGAAAUCUAUUCUAUCAAUUGUAAUAUAUAUAAAAGAGUUGACAAACUCUCUUAGAUUGCACUACAAUGGGUAUCCUAGGAUUACAUAUUUAUAAAAUAAUUAUUAUUUUACUAUUACUUAUUAUUCAAUAAAAUAAAAUAAAAUAAUAUAUAUAUAUCAUGCACAUAUUUUAAGACAUGAUUUAUGAGUGAAUGAUCACGGAAAAUAAUUUGUCAACUUGAGAUCUCUACUAAAUAAUAUAUAUUCAUGUCAGUUGAAAAAUACAAAUAAAAAAAUACAACUUAUGAACUACUAGCUAAAUUGCAGAGAGUUUGUCAAUUGCCGGCAAACGCGUUGAAAGCCACCAAUGGAACACGCUUCUCAACUAAUGAUCACGACCAGUGAAAUUAAUGAAGUAUGACGUGUGCACUUGAGGGUAUAGCUGCUGUGGUCACUCGUGGAUUUAUUCCGCUCUCUCUCGGGUUCGAUCCUCUCUGUGCACGCCUGUCACCCCCGCGGUGCCUUACCUGCUCCUAGGCUUGCAGGAUGUCCCUUGGGGAAUAGUCGUGAUGCGCGUAAGCUGGCCCGAACACCCCACGUGAAUCAAAAAAAAAAAAUGAAGUAUGACGUGUGUCACGUCAAGUAUGACAUGUGAUCCUGAAAUGAUGUUAGAUUUUAAAUUUAUUUUUUAAAAAUUAUUAAUUUAAGUUUAUAAAUUUCAAAAACAUUAAAAAAAAAUUAUAUAAUUAUUAAUUUUGAAAUUAUUAAAAUUAAAUUUAAUCAAAAUAUAUGUAAUAAUGAAGUAUGGCGUGUGUCAUUAAUACUAUAAUAUCGAACAUUACCUUAAUAUCUAAUAUAUCUGAUCUCACUAAUUAGUAUUUAUUAAUAUUAUUAAACUUAGCUCUACCCAUCAUUUUAUUGGAGAUCAUAAUUAUUUUAAAUUGAUUUAAUUAAAUCAAAAUGAUAUCAUGGAAACAGAUUUUAAUUGGAUCAACUUAAACUAAGUUAACUUUAGGAUAUAUUUUUUUAUAUAUUUGACUUGGGGUAAUAGACAAAUUGAUUAAGUUUUAAAUUAAAUAAAAUAUAAUGAUAAUUUUAUAAAUAAUUUAUUUUUCUUAUUAAAUUUAGAGUGGUGAUAUAAAAUGUUAUCUAUGAACGUUAUAUUUUUUUAAGGAAUAGAGGGAAAUUAAAAAAAAAAAAAACACUAAAUUAUAGGAAUGUCUGGUUGAUCUUUUGUUUUUUUUAAUAAAUCUAUCAAAGUUCGAAAAAGAUGUUACUCCAAUUGCGAUAACUCAAGUCUCUCUCACUGUAUAAGUGUCCUUUACAUAAACUUUUAUGGUCAUUAAUUUUGUACCAUAUAUCUUUCUUUCACUAGAACCACCAUAGCUUUCAUGUUACAAUGACAUCUUCAUCUUCAUCUGCGUCUUCAUCUUCAUAUUCAUCUUCAAAACCAUGGAUUUAUGAUGUAUUUUUGAGUUUUAGAGGCGAAGACGCGCGCAAAAAUUUCACCGAUCAUCUCUACUUUGCUUUAAAAGAUGCUGGAAUCAACACAUUUAGAGACGACAAUGGGCUCCGAAGGGGUGAAGAUAUUUCGACGGAGCUAUUACAAGCAAUCCAAAAGUCUAGGAUUUCAGUCAUUGUGUUCUCAAGAAAUUAUGCAAAUUCAAGAUGGUGUCUUGAGGAACUAGUGAAGAUCAUGGAGUGUAGGAGAAGCUUUAGGCAACUUGUUUUUCCUAUAUUCUAUGAUGUCGAUCCAUCUGAUGUAAGGAAACAAACUGGAAGUUUUGCAGAGGCCUUUGCUGGACAUGAAGAAAUGUUUGUGCUCCAGACAGACAAGGGCAAGGUGGCUACAUGAUAUUUUUAAAUCAUUUUAAUACAUUAAUAUUAAAAUUAAUUUUUUAAAAAUAAAAAUAUUAUUAUAAUAUAUUUCUAAAUAAAAAAACAACUUCAACACGUUUCAUAACUUUUCUACCAACCAGCACAGUGGGCAUAACAGUACGAAAAUACCUUUUUUCGUAUCGCGAUUGCUAAAGUCUUUGGCUGUCUCCCUCAGUAAUUAAAGUGUCCCUCGCAUUAAUUUUGUACCAUAGAUCUGUCUUUCUCUCGCCACCAUAGCUUUCAUGUUACAAUGACAUCUUCAUUUUCAUCUGCGUCUUCAUCUUCAUCUUCAUAUUCAUCUUCAAAACCGUGGAUUUAUGAUGUGUUUUUGAGUUUUAGAGGCGAGGACACGCGCAAAAAUUUCACCGAUCAUCUCUACUUUGCCUUCAAAGAUGCUGGAAUCAACACAUUUAGAGACGACAAUGAGCUCCGAAGGGGUGAAGAUAUUUCGACGGAGCUAUUACAAGCUAUCCAAAAGUCUAGGAUUUCAGUCAUUGUGUUCUCAAGAAAUUAUGCAAAUUCAAGAUGGUGUCUUGAGGAACUAGUGAAGAUCAUGGAGUGUAGGAGAAGCUUUAGGCAACUUGUUUUUCCUAUAUUCUAUGAUGUCGAUCCAUCUGAUGUAAGGAAACAAACUGGAAGUUUUGCAGAGGCCUUUGCUGGACAUGAAGAAAGGUUUGUGCUCCAGACAGACAAGGGCAAGGUGGCGACGUGGAGGAUGGCUUUGACUGAAGCUGCAAAUUUGUCUGGAUGGGAUUUGAGGAAUGUUGCGGAUGGGUAAGCACUCAUAAAAUCAACCAUCCUUGCUAAUUUAAUGGACUUUAUAAUUUGAAUUAAUAGUAAUUCUUAUGUUAUCAAUGAUAUGACCUAAGUGAUAAAAUUCUCCAAUUUGAACCAUUUAAAUUGUUUUUUUUCUCUGUUUAGUUUUUAAAGAAAAGAGAUGAAUGACAGGUUGUUUGUCUUUUAAAAAAUUAAAUAAAAACAAGUCCAGGUUUGAGGGUUGGGCUCUAUAUUUUUUUUUUUUUAGAUGGUCUAGACAUGUUGGUUUAAUGCUCACGCAUCUGGCUUCAUUAAGGUUUUUUUUUUUUUUAAAAAAAAAUUAUAUUAGAUAAAAAAUAAAUUUAAUAAAAAAAAAUUAUAAAAUCUAGUUGAGAAUAUAACUUGUAGUGUCAUAGACUUGAUAAGUUAAUAUCAUAUAUUCAAGUUAAUGUAAUAUAUUAUUGUCUGAAUAAUUUUUUUAAAACUUAUAUCAAAUUAAAUUUAAAAAAAAACAUUUGGUGUAUUUCUUUGUGAUGUAUUAUUUUUGUGAGAUUUAACUCUUACAUAAUUGUCAUAGCGUGGUUAGAUUAUAAAACUCGAGGUGAUUAAAUAUAUUAUUAUUUUUUUUAAAAAAAAAUAAAUGAUUUGAAGAAUUGUUUUUAAGCAUUUUGUUGUUUUUAAUUGAUUUUCAUGAUAUAUUUUGUUUUGAUUUUUAUAUAAUUAAUUAUUUUUUAUUUGGUUUUUGUAGGAUUUAUUAGUUUUAAUUUAUUUUUUAUUUAAUUUUUUAUCAUCUUGAAUUUUGUUUUUAAAUUCAAACCCCAUUAUUACAGUGGGUAUGAGCUACUUGUUGUCGAAUAGCUACUAAAGAGUUUCUAAAACAUCAUUGAUAGGCUCCAUCUUGCAUCUUACCCAAUCCAAUCACUUUCUUUGUUUUGAAGUCCUGAUAAAUACAAAAUCCCGGAAAGAACACAACGAAAUUUGAAUCUUUGGUAAAAGAUUACAUAUAAAAUAAUGGCUGUGAAAAAUUAUACGCAAUUGGCACCGGUAAUUGGUUAAUUAAGUGCAGUGGUUAUUAGGGAUUUUUUUUAUAUGCAGCAUUUGUCAAUGUAUAAAUCACUUCAUUGGCUUGUGAGGAGUGAUCGAUCUUGAAAAUCUAACCUGCACUUUUCAAUUUUGAAACCGAGCAAUUUGGACCAUCAAUUGGAGAACGUUGGGAUCAUUUUUUGGAAUCUUGGACACAGAUUCAUGUGAUGCAAAUCCAAGUUGAUCACAGACAACAUCAAUGAUGAUGUUGGCUCAAAUCUGUUAUAUUAUUAACCUCUGAAGAGGCAUUAUCUCAUGUUUUUUCUCAUAACCCCAUAGUGGGUUUUGUUAUAAGAACGUGCCUUUUGAAAAGAGAGCUGGUAUCUAGAGCUUUUUAGUUGUUAGGGACUAAACUACUAGUCGAUUUGGUGUAUGGAUAUCAUCACUAUCCAAUUUAUUUUGAAAAAGAUUUCAAUAAAUAAAUAAUUUUAAUAAUUUAGGUAACGAUAUAUACUGAGAAGAAGUACAUUAUCAGUAGAUAAUCCAGGGUUGAGGAAAUAAAUGGUGAUCCAAGGAAUAUGAGAUGUUUUGCUUGGGGCUGGAUUUUCUUCAGGAAAACUACAAAUUAUAAAAUAUUUUGGAUAAUGCUUUACAUAAUAUAUUCUAAUUGGCUGUUUUAUGCUUAAAGUCUCACUAUUUUAUUGACAAUUAUUUGCAGGCAUGAAGCAAAAUUUAUAAAGAAAAUUGUUGGGGAAAUUUUGAGAGAACUGCGUAGCACAUACUUGUUCGUAGCCUUCUAUCCAGUUGGGAUAAAUCGUCGUGUGCAACAAUUGAACUUUUUGUUAAAUGCUGGAUCAAGCGAGGUCUGCAUUGUAGGAAUAUAUGGAAUGGGAGGCAUAGGGAAAACAACCAUUGCCAAGGCCAUGUAUAAUGAGUUGUUUCAUAGUUUUGAUGGGAAAUGUUUUCUAGCCAAUGUCAGAGAAAUUUCAAAGCAGCCAAAUGGUCAUGUCAAACUGCAAGAACAACUUCUUUUUGAUAUCCUGAAGAAAGACAAGAUUAAGAUUGGCAGUGUUGACAGAGGAAUGACUAUGAUAAAGGAAAGACUUCACAGUAGAAGAGUUCUUCUCGUACUUGAUGAUGUAGAUAAAUUAGAUCAGUUACAAGCGAUAGCGGGGAGUCGAGAUUGGUUUGGUUCAGGAAGCAGAAUCAUUGUAACAACAAGAGAUGAGCAUGUUCUAACAGUUCUUGGAGCUGAUCGAGUAUACAUGGCUAGAGAAAUGAAUGACAUUGAAGCUUUGGAGCUUUUUAGUUGGCAUGCCUUUCGAGCAAGCCAUCCCGUCGAAGAUUAUAAGGAGUUGUCGGAACAAAUUGUUGACUACUGUGGAAGAUUGCCACUAGCACUUGAAGUAAUAGGCUCUUUUCUAUUUGGUAGAAGAAUAGUUGAAUGGAAAAGUGCAUUGGAAAAACUGAGAAGAAUUCCUGAUGAUCAAAUUCAGAAAAAGCUCCAAAUAAGUUUUGAUGGCCUGAAUGAUGACACACAGAAAGAUAUAUUCCUCGAUAUAUCCUGUUACUUUAUUGGGAUGGACAAGGAAUAUGUGUUACCAAUAUUAAAUGGUUGUGAUUUUUUCGCAGACAUUGGAUUUAGUGUCCUCACUCAGAGGUGCCUUGUAUCUGUUAAUGAAAAGAACAAGCUAAUAAUGCAUGAUUUGCUUAGAGAUAUGGGGAGAGAAAUUGUUCGUGCGCAAUCACCGAACAAUCCAGGAAGGCGGAGUAGAUUAUGGAUUCCUGAAGAAGUUGGUGACAUAUUGAGAAGAAACAUGGUGAAUGCAUUCAAACUUAUCAUCGUAUAAAUUCAUGUUUUGAAAAAUAUCUGAUCCUUUCCUCUUGAUGUGGUUUAUUGACAGGGAACUGAAGCAAUCCAAGGGAUGGCCUUAAACUUGCUGAAAGUGAAUGACAUGAAAGUGGAUGUAAAUGUGUUUUGCAAGCUGCAAAACCUAAGGCUGCUCCAGCUCAAUCAUGUAAAGCUUGGUGGAGGCUGUGAGUAUCUUUUGAGAAAAUUAACCUGGCUCUGUUGGCAUGGAUUUCCACUCUCGUUCAUACCUGAUGGCCUCUACGGGGAAAACCUUGUUGCUAUAGAUAUGCGAUACAGCAACCUAAGACAGGUUAAGAAUUCUAAGGUAUGCUAAGACUAUCAAAUAUUUAUCUAAACUUUAGUAUGCUAUCAAACAAUAACAAUUUCUUUCUAACUCCUGAAUCUUGUUUCUUUUGCUCAGUUCCUUUUGAAGUUGAAGUUUCUUAAUCUCAGUCAUUCUCAUUACCUAUCUCGGACUCCCGACUUUUCCAGACUUCCACAUCUGGAGAAGUUAAAACUCAAAGACUGCAGAAGUUUGGUUGAAGUUCAUCAUUCUAUUGGAUACCUUGAUAGUCUUGUUUUGGUAAAUUUCAAAGAUUGCAAGCAACUUAUGAGGCUCCCGAGUAGCUUCUGGAAGUUGAAGUCUAUCGAGAUUCUUUACCUCUCAGGCUGCUCAAAAUUUGAUGAAUUGCCUGAGGACUUGGGAGAUUUGGAAUCCUUGACAGUUCUCCAUGCAGAUGACACUGCCAUAAGACAGGUACCAAGUACCAUAGUAAAACUGAAGAACCUCAAAGAUUUAUCACUUUGUGGCUGCAAAGGUUCAACUUCCGCAACAUUUCCUUCACGUUUGAUGUCAUGGUUUCUGCCAAGAAAAAGUCCCAAUCCACCCAACCUGUUGCCACCUUCUUUUCAUGGCUUAAACAGACUCACAUCAUUAUUGCUCAGUGAUUGCAAUCUAUCUGAUGAUGCGCUUCCUAGAGAUCUUGGGAGCUUACCCUCACUAACCAAACUGGAAUUGGACCGUAACAGUUUUCAAAGUCUACCAGCUGGCUUGAGUAGUCUUUUGAGACUUAAAAGUCUAAGAUUAGACGAUAAUACAAGGCUACAAACAAUUCCAGCUUUACCUAGAAAUUUGGAUGUCUUGCACGCUUUGAACUGCACAUCAUUGGAAAGACUGUCAGACAUAUCAGUAGCUUCACGUAUUCGUUUACUCUACAUUGCUAAUUGCCCCAAACUGAUUGAGGUUCCAGGAUUGGAUAAAUCAAGGUCCGUUACACACAUUGACAUGGAAGGGUGCUACGAUAUCUCAAAUACUUUUAAAAAUAGCAUGCACAAGGUAUUCUUCCUCUGUGUCUCUUUACUUGUUAAACAUGUUGUCCUAUGUUGUUGUUAAAUAUAUCAAAUGAAAAUGGUACUCUUUGUGCAGGGAUGUAUUUCUGGUUUGGUACUUCCUGGAAAUGAGAUUCCUGCCUUGUUCAACUAUAAGAAUGAGGGUGCUUCAAUAUUGUUUAAACUACCAAAAUUCGACGGCAGGAACUUGAAGGGCAUGAAUGUGUGCAUUGUUUGCUCAUCUCAUUUAGAGAAAAAACAAACUAAAAGUAUUACAAUCAAAUUGACUAAUCAUACUAAGGGUUUUACCAAGGAUUGUCGGAAUGUAGCUGUUAACUUAGUAAAAUCCUGUGAAGAUCACCUCUGGCAGGGCCAUAUAUCAAAUAAGAGCUUCCAACUUGAUAGUGAAGAUGAAGUUGAGCUUAUUGUAGAUUGUGGAAAUACAAUGACUGUGAAGAAGAAUGGAGUAUACCUAGUAUAUGAGCAAGACGAGGCAAGACUUAAAGCUAAGAGAGUUCUUGAUAAUGAUGAUGGGGAAGGAUCAAGCUGUGAUAACCUAUCUCAAGCAAAAAGAUUGAGGUUUGAGACCAGUCAACAGAGUGUCGAGGAAAACAUGGAUGUGGCGUAGCUUCACCCUUCAGGUCUCGGCGUUUUCCAUGUUGUCUUUGUUGAAGCUUUUGUUCAACAUAAUGAUCUAUACAUUAUGCCUGUGUUAUGUGUAGUAAAGGGUAUUUGUGAUGGAGGAGAUUUUGGAAGUGCUAUACUAUUUUGACAGGACAGUCCAGCGCAAGGAUAGUAGCAAAUAAUAGUCGGAGUCUGAUUUGUGAACUUUUUACGUCCCUCUCAGUAUUUUCGCCAUAACUUUUGUUCCGAGUUGCACGUCGUCGCAUGCAACCGACAAUAUUUGUUGGGGUGGUUUUUUGCCCUAAAUUCCAUAGGCCUCUUAUUAUAGACUUGAAUUAUUUUUUCUAGAAAAAUAAAAUGUUUUAAUUUUUAAUUAAUUAAAUAUUGAAAGAAUUUUUUUUAAAAAAAAUCAAUUAUACAAAAAAAGUCAAAAAUCUCAUUACCCCUCAUUUAACAAGAUAAUUAUAUAAAAACCAUUGUAAAAAUAUAAAAUUGGCCAUUGACUCUAGCUUUAAUUUUUUUUUAUUCCGCCAGUAUUUUGAUUGAUUCUAUGUAUAAUUAAAAUAAAAAAAAUUAUUUGUUUCUAAUCAAUUGGGCAACACUAUGAUUUUUUAUUUUAUUGAUUGAGUGAUAAAAAUAUUAAAAUAGAAUAACUAAAAUGAUUUUCAAAGGGAUUUGGAUUGUGUUCUAUCUAUAUCUCUCUGCAAGUUGCCAUCUUUGUGGCCGACAUUGACAAAGAAUAUAUCUUGUUUAUUAACAAGUGAACUCAAGAGGUUUUUUUCAAACAAUAGAUAAAAAAAAAUUAACGUGGAGUUGACUUUAUUUUUUUAAAAAAAAUAUUUUUGAAAUAUUUGAAAUAUUUUUUAAAUAUUUUUUAAAUAUUUUUUUUUUAAAUAUUUGAUAUCCUGAAGACAGACAAGAUUAAGAUUGGCAAUGUUGACAGAGGAAUGAAUAUGAUAAAGAAAAGACUUCACAGUAGAAAAGUUCUUCUCAUACUCGAUGAUAUAGAUAAAUUAGAUCAGUUACAAGCGAUAGUGGGGAGUCGAGAUUGGUUUGGUUCAGGAAGCAGAAUCAUUGUAACAACAAGAGAUAAGCAUGUUCUAACAGUUCUUGGAGCUGAUCGAGUAUACAUGGCUAGAGAAAUGAAUGACAUUGAAGCUUUGGAGCUCUUUAGUUGGCAUGCCUUUCGAACAUGCCAUCCCGUCGAAGAUUAUAAGGAGUUGUCAGAACAAAUUGUUGACUACUGUGGAAGAUUGCCACUAGCACUCGAAGUAAUAGGCUCUUUUCUAUUUGGUAGAAGUAAAGUUGAAUGGAAAAGUGCAUUGGAAAAACUGAGAAGAAUUCCUGAUGAUCAAAUUCAGAAAAAGCUCCAAAUAAGUUGUCGCACGUGUGCGGCGUCGCGGCGAUCGCCCACCCACACUCAAUUAUGUGUGGAUCUGGAAAAUAUGGGGAGACAAGGAAUUCUUUGUCUCUUAGCGGUGAAAAAUGGGAAUGGGAGUCGCCACUUAGUAUUCUGGUCACUAGGAACCCUAACUGGUCUCAGAGAUCGGGUACGGAGACUGGUUGCGUAAAGGAAAGGUAUUAGCACUCCAAAUACGCCCUACCUAAGGUAAGCUGCAUUGUUUUAUUUGUCUGAUCAAAAUCUAGGGUUUGGUCGCGUUUUCUAAUUGUUGGUUCGGUCUGUCUAAGAUUCAAGAAAAGCCCUCCUAAAAAAGGAGGUUCUUAUCUUAAUGAGGUAAAACUUAACCGUUCUAUCGUCAAAUAAAAAAAACUACCUUUUUAAUAUCGAGAGUACGUUUUACGUAUAAAUUCGUAAUCUCGGAUAUUAAAAGAAAACAAAAUAAUUUUUUUGGAAUUUUGAAAUAUUGGUCAAGUUCUCAUGACUUUAAUAAACUGGUUAUUAAAGCCAAAAUGCAUGAUAAAACAUUUUUUUUUUUGAAGUUUUCUUUGUUGUAUGAAAAUAGAAUAUGAGUUUUUUAGCUUUGAGAGAUUUGGCCGUAUGCAUGAAAACAAAAACAUUUUUUUUUUUAAUGUUUUGAUGAAAAUCGGGUAUUUUAAUACCGAAUGUGUAUUUUUACGAUGUAAAAAUACAAACCAAUAUUAAGCAAAAUUUAGUAAAAAAAAUACGCGGAAGAAUCACAAAUUUUCUAAAAUAUUAUUAUUAUUUUUAAAAAAUUUUUUUUUGGACCGGGCUGGACCCGGCCCACUCAUUUUGGACUGGGCCGGACUUGUCCGGCCCAGUGAACAGUGGAGCACUCUCCACUGUUCACGCAGAACAGUGGAGAGCGACCGGAGAAGAAGCAAGAGAAGGAAACUGACCGGACAGCGCUGGUGGCUCGCUGUGCUGGUCGCGGUGGCGCUGUUGUCGCGGUGGACGGCGGUGGUGGCAGACGGUGGUUCUUCUUCUUCUCUCCUCUGCUUCGCUGCUUCUUCUUCCUCUGUUUCUGUUUUUUCAGUGUUUCUUCUUCUGUUUCUCACGGUGCAGGGCUGUUAUCAAUGACGGGGAGGACGGUGGCAGCUGUUGUUGGCGGCGCUGCUUCCAACGGCGAAGAGAGAGAGGCCGGAGAGAGAGAUUACUGUUCUUCUCUUCUCCUCUGUUAUCUGUUUUUCCCGUCCCCUGUGCUCUGUUCUUCUUUUUUUUUAUCUGCUGGUGGCGGUGGCAGCGACGGGGACUGCGGACGGUGGCUGGGAAACCAGGUGGCAGCUGCUGUGAUGGUGGUUCUGCGGCGGUUCUUCUUCUCUGUUCUGCGUUCCUCCCUGUCUAUAACGUCCUCCUCUCUCUGCCGUGGCUGUGCUGCUGACAGCUCACUAUGCUGGUAGCAAUAGGGGAACUGGGGGGAGCUGCUUGGCCGGUGGUUCUCCUUCCCUUCUCAGCGUUGUCCUCUGUUUCUGGCCUUCUUAUCGCUCAGUGGUUGCAAUUUAUCUGAUGAUGCGCUUCCUAGAGAUCUUGGGAGCUUACCCUCACUAACCAAUCUGGAAUUGGACCGUAACAGUUUUCAAAGUCUACCAGCUGGCUUGAGUAGUCUUUUGAGGCUUACAGGUCUAAGACUGAACGAUAACACAAGGCUACAAACAAUUCCAGCUUUACCUAGAAAUUUGAAUGUCUUGCAAGCUUCGAACUGCACAUCAUUGCAAAGAUUACCAGACAUAUCAGUAGCUUCACGUAUGCGUUUGCUGUAUAUUGCUAAUUGCCCCAAACUGAUUGAGGCUCCAGGAUUGGAUAAAUCAAGGUCCAUUUCACACAUUGACAUGGAAGGGUGCUACGAUAUCUCAAAUACUUUAAAAAAUAGCUUGCACAAGGUAUUCUUUCUCUGUCUCUCUUUACUUGUGAAACAUAUUUUUCUAUGUUGUUGUUAAAUAUAUAAAAUAAAAAUGGUACUCUUUGUGCAGGGAUGUAUUUCUGGUAUGGUACUUCCUGGAAAUGAGAUUCCUGCCUUGUUCAACUAUAAGAAUGAGGGUGCUUCAAUAUUGUUUAAACUACCUGAAUUCGACGGCAGGAACUUGAAUGGCAUGAACGUGUGCAUUGUUUGCUCAUCUCAUUUAGAGAAAGAAGAAACUAAACACAUUAGAAUCAAAUUGACUAAUUAUACUAAGGGUUUUACCAAGGAUUGUCGGAAUGUAGCUGUUAACUUAGUAAAAUCCUGUGAAGAUCAC